AUGUCCAAGUCAUUUCAGCAGUCAUUUUUCAGUGGGGAUUUACAGGGUCAUGGGUGUAACCUGCCUGCAACAGGAAUAGGCCUUCUUACUGCUGCUACCCAGUCUUUAAGUAUGCUAGCAUCUCUUGGAAGGGUGAACCAUCAUACUGCAAACCUUGCUAGUUUAAUGAAUCUAGGAAUGAGUUCUUCAUUGAAUCAACAAGGAGCUUCGACCACCCACGUCCUAUUCCCUUAUACUCACUGUAAAAUUUAUGAUAGUUAUGCGAGGUCACAUAAAAAAAAAAAGAACCAUCCUUACACCUUUCUCAAUCUCAGCAACACAGCAGUUUUCUCUCUUUGUGGAUGAGUGCCUCAUGUGCUUCUCAGAUGUUGUGCUAAGAUUGACUAGAACUAUACCGUGCUCCUGGAUCAGAGCUUGGCACUUAUAGGGAAUACCAUGGAGGUACUAUGGAGAGAAACACAGGUAAAAUUGAGAAAAAUAGGGGCACUCUUCUAAGUAGCAAUAUUAAACAGUUACACGGACUCUUACUGAAGGGUUAUCCCCAUUUGUGCUCUAUAUGUGAUAUGCCAGUUCAUUCUAAUAAGGAGUGGAGUCAAUAUACCAGUGGAGCAAGUCACAGUUGUCGAUGCCAGCUUCUUCUUGAAAUCUACCCAGAAUGGAAUCCUGACAGUGAUACUGGACACACAAUGGGUGAUCCAUUCAUGCUGCGUCACUCUACAAACUCAGCACCAGGAAUUCUGGGACUGCCACAUCCUUCAUUUCAUCUUAGAGGACCAGCAGUUGGACCAGCAGGAAAUCUGGGUGCUGCUAAUGGGAACCUAAAGGGACCAAGACACAUGCAAAAAGGCAGAGUGGAAGCCAGCUGAGUCGUUUACGUUAUGGAUUUUCAGCGAGGAAAAAGCUUGAAAUACUAGCUAUUACAACUGGUAGAACCAUUUGGAGUCAUUUCAAAUCAUCUGAUUCUAAAUACAAUUAAUGAGGCAUUUAUUUUAAUGGCAACCACAGAAGAUGCUCAGUGAGCCUUA
rnacentral:lncRNA from 1 species